ACGCGUAUGAAAGACAAGCUGAAAGACUUUUCUCAAUGAUGUAAGUGGUGGUGCAUGGUCGUUCUUAGUUCGUGGAKUGAUUUGUCUGGUCUAUUCCGAUAACGAGCGAGACCCCAACGUUCCUAAUAGGGGUAGCAGCCCAGCUUGCCCGCAAGGGCUUGCUAGCAGCUACUUCUCUUAGCUUCUUAGACGUAUCAGAGCCGAUAAGGUUCUUGAAAUGGGUUAAUAACAGGUCAGUCAUGCCCUUAGAUGUUCUGGGCCGCACGCGCGUUACAAUGGUAUACAUAGAAAGUGCUCUCAAAGGGCGUUUCCGCAGYCUGCAGGCUGUGGUAACCCCUAGUCUCUCCCUUGACUGGGAUAGACUAUUGCAAUUAUUGGUCUCAAACGAGGAAUUUU
rnacentral:rRNA from 1 species